rnacentral:rRNA from 1 species
GCGCACGCUGGCGGCAGGCCUAACACAUGCCAGUCGAACGGAUCCUUCGGGAUUAGUGGCGGACGGGUGAGUAACACGUGGGAACGUGCCCUUUGGUUCGGAACAACUCAGGGAAACUUGAGCUAAUACCGGAUGUGCCCUUCGGGGGAAAGAUUUAUCGCCAUUGGAGCGGCCCGCGUCUGAUUAGCUAGUUGGUGAGGUAACGGCCCACCAAGGCGACGAUCAGUAGCUGGUCUGAGAGGAUGAUCAGCCACACUGGGACUGAGACACGGCCCAGACUCCUACGGGAGGCAGCAGUGGGGAAUCUUGCGCAAUGGGCGAAAGCCUGACGCAGCCAUGCCGCGUGGAUGAUGAAGGUCUUAGGAUUGUAAAAUUCUUUCAGCGGGGACGAUAAUGACGGUACCCGCAGAAGAAGCUCCGGCUAACUUCGUG